UUUUUUUCAAUUGUGUCCCAUAAAUAGUUAAUGUGGAACGCUAAAAAUUUAUUACGUGAAAUUAUUAAUCCACUUCGAAUUGUCAGCAUUAUUAAACUUUAAAAAAAAACCUAUGUGGCACUAAAACAUAAUACCGCAUUGAGGGUUUGAAGAAAAAAAUACCUAAAUCAUAGCAAAAAAAAUCGGCACUCUUCGGUGAUUGUCCUCCGGUAGAAAGAACAAAUUGAAGAAGUUAGUAGGGAAUUCAAACAAAAAUCCCAAAUCAUUUUAGUUGAUCACCAGAUCCCUCAAAUCCCCCAACCCUUCCUCCUUCCCGCCAACGAAGACAAGAAAAAGCAGUGCGGCCACAACUCGCCAGCGCUCUUCGACUGUGACUGCUUCCACUGGGAUUCCUCCCCCAACCACGAGCUCAUCCACCAAGCCAUCGAACUAUCGAAGCCUUUGAGGACCACUUGAACUCUGGCGGCACCCUCAAGAACUCCGUCAAUCUGAAAUUGAAUAACUCUCUUCUAGAUAUUGCAGCUGCAAUAUUCGCGAAGCGUACUCACUUCGUCUCUGCCCGUCAAUAAUUCUACGAGCAAGGGCACCUACGUUGCUCGCCUCUCCAAGCUCGUCGUUGUGCCCUACAUCGCCACCGGCGAUCUCGUCCGCCACGAGCUCUCUUCUUCUGCCCCCCUCUCCUCUCAGCAUCUGUCAGUGGAGUAGGCUGGUCUUGCAACGAGAUGAACGGCGCUCUUCUUCUUCUUCUCCAUUCUUUGUUGCCAACGAGAUGAACGGGUCCCUUUUUCUUCUUCUUCAGUUUUUGCAUCAACAAUUCAUUUGAUUUUCAAUUCUGAAACUAGGGUUUUGAGAUUGGAGAAAUGUCUUGACAAGAACGAUGACCAUGGCUUAAAAACACGCUGAAUUGCUGAAUUACAUGUCUUCCUUUUUUCUUUUCUUUUUUUUAUAAUUCCAGUUAAUAAAUUUCCGGCGUUCAACGUCAACUCUCAGGCAUCGAAAUUUUUU